AUCACUUCUCUGCCUUUUGGUGGAGAUCAAGUGUACUAUCUGUUCUUCUGAGUUUUCUCCCUGAUAAGUUCCCUAUCUAGGGACCAUAUAUUAGAUGGAUUUUUUGACAACUGGGGCCAAUUUCGAAGCUUGCUCCCAGCGCCCCAUGCUUCGACCCUAUAUGGGUAUACUAGGGCCCCCUGGACCUGAU